GCCCUUGUCAUCUCCCAUCGGAAUCGAUGGAAACUCUAUACAACUUGUGCCCAAAAACGAGCUUCAUCAGUUAUCACACCACCAGACAGCCCUGCGGGGGCCUUGCGAGUCAAAACCACCAUGAUCCUUCCCUAGUUCCGGCUGCGAAGCCUCCCUUGAGGAGGAUCCUACUUGAGAUGUCUGUCAGCAGUCUUCUUUCC
rnacentral:lncRNA from 1 species